rnacentral:rRNA from 1 species
UACGUAGGGGGCAAGCGUUGUCCGGAAUCAUUGGGCGUAAAGAGCGUGUAGGCGGUCCUGUAAGUCCGCUGUGAAAGUCAAGGGCUCAACCCUUGAAUGCCGGUGGAUACUGCAGGACUAGAGUCCGGAAGAGGCGAGUGGAAUUCCUGGUGUAGCGGUGAAAUGCGUAGAUAUCUGGAGGAACACCGGUGGCGAAGGCGGCGUUCUGGACUGUUUCUGACACUGAAAAACGAAAGCCAGGGGAGCAAACGGG